rnacentral:rRNA from 1 species
AGCAGUAGCCACGGUAAUACAGAGGGUGCAAGCGUUAAUCGGAAUUACUGGGCGUAAAGCGCACGCAGGCGGUUUGUUAAGACAGAUGUGAAAUCCCCGGGCUUAACCUGGGAACUGCAUUUGUGACUGGCAAGCUAGAGUCUGGCAGAGGGGGGUGGAAUUCCGCGUGUAGCAGUGAAAUGCGUAGAUAUGCGGAGGAACACCGAUGGCGAAGGCAGCCCCCUGGGCCAACACUGACGCUCAUGCACGUAAGCGUGGGGAGCAAACAGGAUUAGAUACCCCUGUAGUCCCUGUCUCUUAUAU